AGCUAUUGCCUCCAGGGGAUGUCACUACUAUUUCCAUGAAGAUCUGAAUGCCUACCAGCAGAUGGACUUGAGAGGCCUCUUGCUGGUUUUGCAGGUUCUUCACUUGCCACAUGAAGUUUUCACUGGUUAAUUAUGCUUCACUAAGGGAGUAUUAAGAGAGACAAUAAGAAAAUAUACACGAGACAUGAAAGACAACGACAACUGUAUAAGAGAAUCUAGGUACUUUGCUGAUUGUUGCGAUAAUUCUCUCCCUCCAAAUGGAGCACUCUCUCCAUCUACAUGUUCGGGUUCUUAGUAUCUAGGGUGUACUGCCCUGGAUUCAAAUUUAGGUCUAUUUGAGUCUAGAACCAAUAUAAUUAGUCACUUCACAGGAUAAAGGCAGGAGCAAGCCAAGGCCCUUACAUCUAACAUAAGGCUGGAGGGAAGGGAGCCGCUCCAGGGGCGAGUGUGCAGAGGCCGCAGAGCCUCUCUUGUGCAAACACAACAGGGGCUGGGAAAAGCAAAGAACUUUUUGUUUCAGUUCCCCAAGCCUGGAUUGUGGGUCUCUGUCAGUACUAAAGACUAUGAAGAUCCCUGAGGCCAACAAAGCUGUCAUAAACAUAUCAAGAUGUUACAGGACUCUUUCUACAAGUUUGACAUUUGUACUAAUGAUGCAAAAUUAAAGGAGAACAGCUGUGGAAGAUGAGGAGACAAAUACAAAGGUAAAGAUAAUGUUUUUAAGAAACGUAGAUGGAGAGAAUA
rnacentral:lncRNA from 1 species